rnacentral:rRNA from 1 species
CUACGGGUUGCUGCAGUGAGGAAUUUUGCGCAAUGGGGGAAACCCUGACGCAGCAACGCCGCGUGAGUGAAGAAGGCCCUUGGGUCGUAAAGCUCUGUCAAUGGGGAAGAAGUUAUUAUGUGUUAAUAGCACAUUUUAUUGACGGUACCCAUGAAGGAAGCACCGGCUAACUCCGUGCCAGCAGCCGCGGUAAUACGGGGAGGUGCAAGGGUGUUCGGAAUUAUUGGGCGUAAAGGGCACGCAGGCGGUCCUGUCAGUCAGAUGUGAAAGCCCGGGGCUCAACCCCGGACGUGCAUUUGAAACAGCAGAACUUGAGUACGGGAGAGGAAAGGGGAAUUCCUGGUGUAGAGGUGAAAUUCGUAGAUAUCAGGAGGAACACCGGUGGCGAAGGCGCCUUUCUGGACCGAUACUGACGCUGAGGUGCGAAGGCGUGGGUAGCGAACGGGAUUAGAUACCCUCGUAGUC